CCAACUAGAACCUCUCUGUUGGUCUGAUUGAGGACCCCAGGAGACAGAACCCAUCAUCCUAGGGGGCCCUCUUCCCAGGAGCCCCUGAGCUCACUGUAGCCUAUCAAGUCCUUGGAAGGAAGGUACAUAGUGUGGGAAGAUUGGAGAAAUGAGGCAGGGCUUGGAGCUUAAUUGAGGCUCAAUUUGAAAGGGAUUCAGACUAUACCUGACAGAACCGGGUCAAGAUUGGGCCCUGGCACAGGGAGAAGGGAGAAUGAGGCAGUGUGGUGCAGCACUGAAAGCUCAGGCUAAAGCCCUGGAUUCUGCCGGACCAGCUGUGUAAACUUGGAUGAGCUAUUUCCAUUGUUGGAAUAUUAGUUUCCUCAUGUGUAAAAAUUAGGAAUGUUCCUUGCAUAGGACUAAUUGAAAUUAUGUUAAAUAUUUGGCUUUUUAUCUGGCACCAAGUAUGUGGAGCUGGAUUCGUUCUGAUGGACUGACAGGAAGAUGCUACACUGUUGGAUGGGAAGGUGGCUUUGAACUUACUCAUUCAUCUAUUUGAAAGGACUGAUUGAUGUUCCCAAGGAUGCCGUCAUCACUGCCUUAGGAUCACUGGGGAUGUUAGACCCAGAAGCUAGGUGGAAUAGGCUUCAGGGGCAACUUGAUGUUUGUCUACUCAGAGUAAAGGGAUGAAUGAUGACACCCAGUGGGGAAUGACUGGCACUCCAUGGGGCCAUUCAGUGUGCUAAGGUCACCUCUUUGGCCUGAAUCAUAUGGUCGGUCUGUAUUACACAAAGCAGAGAAGAUGCUAUGUGCUGCUAAACCUUGGUAGGAGAAUCUCACUGAGGGAAGGGGCCUUGGAGACCAGGUUGAGACAGAUCCCAAGGGCUUUGAUGAAGGGCAUAGACUUGCUUAGCCUAGAGGGAAUAAUCUGGGGAUCAUGCAGGCUCAGGAGUCCACCCUGACCUCCUUGGGAGUCAUUGAAGGUAUCUGAGCAAGAGUGGAGAAUAAUUCUGGUGUUCCAGCAUGGAUGAAAGGACUUCUCUCUGCAGAGGGAAGGCCACAACAUCAAGCAUCUGCCUUACCAUUCUUGAGAAAAUGAGCUUUUCUGCUGACACUGGCACCUCUGAAAAACAAAUCAGUAAGAAUAAGGUAACAUUGGUCCUAGGUCCCAGAUCCUGGGGUCUGAGGACUGUUUCUCCUUCUCUGGGAGUCCUGACCCCAACACUACCAAUCUGGAAUUUCUCAAACAAACCCAGAGGAUAGGGUUUCCAGAAAGCUGAUGUGAUCUUGUGUAUCAUACAUAGUGACAGAAAGUCUCAAAUCAGGAAGGUAGUCACCAGCAUGUUCCUCAUUCAGAGUCCACUGAAAUUAUGGUGUCCCACAUAAUAAUAUCAACAACUCAGUAGUUACUCUGUGCCAGGCAUUGAGAAUACAGGAUUUUUUUUAAAAAAAAUAUUUAUUUAUUUAUUUUAGUUUUUUUCGGCAGACACAACAUCUUUGUUUGUAUGUGGUGCUGAGGAUCGAACCUGGGCCGCACGCAUGCCAGGCGGGCGUGCUACCGCUUCAGCCACAUCCCCAGCCCCAGAGAAUACAUGAUUUUAACCACUGUUCAGACCUCUCUUGCUGCUCUGAAGAAAGGAGGGAAGAAAGGAGGCAGUGGUGGAUGCUGUGCUCUGCUUCCCUGAGCCCACCCGUAGGACUGAGGCACCUGACCUUCGGCUCACUAUCUAACCUUGCAUGUCCCUAAGUCCAGCUUUUCUUCUGCUCACUGUUCCUGUAACAGGCUCUGUUUUGGUUCAUGCAAAGCCCCUCUCCCUGAAAUGUUGCCUACCCCCUUUCUCCUAUUGAAUCAUACCAUCCUUUCAAGGCUCAGAAGACUUUCCCCCAUUGUUUCCUGAGCAGACCUGAACUUGGGCUUUGCCACAAAAUCACAUGCUACCCCACUCACUGGGUCACCCUGCCUCCCUGUGAACCUGAGCUUCUUGGGUUCUUUGACUCUGUAGCACCCUGGUCAAUUCCCACACAUUCAGUAUUCAGAAAUUGACCACUAAAGUAUGCCGGGGGAAGGGAGAGUCCAGAGUUUCUUCCUAGGAAAUGCGGGGAAAUUUUGCAUUCACACCCCAGCUUCCUUUGACCUUGAUCCAAAGUGCCCCCUUCUCACUCAGUCCAUGCAGGAUCUGAAAUGUGUACAAGGAUCCUCUUCAAACACUUUACUGAAACCCUCAGAAAACUGGUGCUAGGCUAGGAGUAAGCAGUCUGUGUGUGACCAGAGCCCCUGGACCCAUUUCUCAUUGCCACAGUGUGUCCCCAUUUGGAGAAGUGGAUGAGGAAGUGGCCGUGAGUCAAUGGCCCUGAGGACCUGCCAGGGCCUGCUUAAAACAUUAUGACUUCUGUCCAGUUGGAUCCCAACUGGUCUCUCCACCUACCCCCAUUUACUUUAUUCUCAGUAUAACAACUAGAGCAAUUCUUUAAAAAUAUAACUCUGCCUCAAAACCCUUUAGUGCCU
rnacentral:lncRNA from 1 species